CAGGACCAGUGGGUAUCGAUCCCACAAAAUGACAGUUAACAGCUGACUACCCAAUCCAGAGAGCUAUAGUCCG
rnacentral:tRNA from 1 species